UUUCUUUUUAAGAUUCUUUUCCGUAUAGGUUAUUACAAGAUAUUGAAUAGAGUUUCCUGUGCUGUACGGUAGGUCCCAACUCACAACUCCUAACACAAAAUUUUUCUUUUUUUUUUUAACCUGAAUUUUUUUGAAGUAUUGUUUUUUUCCCCAGUUUUACCGAGAUGUAAUUGACCUAUAACAUUGUGUUAGUUUAAAGUGUACAUGAUGAUUUGACAUGUGUAGAAACUGCGAAAUGAUCACCACAGUGAGUUUAGUUAACACCCAUCACCUCACAUAGUUACGCAUUUUUUUUCUCAUGACGAAAACUUCUAAGAUCUGUUCUCUUAGCAACUUUCAAAUACACAGCACAUUAUGGUUAACUAUGGUCACCUUACUGUACAUUACGUCCCCAGGAUUUAUUUAUCUUAUAACUGGAAGUUUGUAUCUUUUCACCCCCUUUAUCCAUCCCCCUCAACUCUACCCCCCAAAAUGUUUAUUUCUUGCUCACACAAAGUCCACUGCUGGCCCCGUGGCUUUCUGCAGCUGCCUUCUCUCCAGGCUCUUUGAAUCUUGUAGCGAGGCCAUCUGGGAAAAUGUGACUUCUGUUUAGCAGUAUCAGAGGGAAAAAGCUUGAGAGUCACACCAAGGCAGAGGCUGUCUUGUCCCAUUUCCCAGGUGGGGAAAUGAAGGCAUAAAGGGUGACACGUCUUGAGCACUUACCUUUGCCAGCCACUGAGCAAAACAAAUUCCUUAUCACAUCCUUGCAGAAACCCCACAGGGGGUCGUAUUAUUUUUGGCAUCCCUGAUUCACAAAGGAUAAAACCUAGACCCACAGGGUAGGACGUGACCUCGCUCACAGCCUGGACUCCAGCCCAGGUCUGCCGAUGCCUCAUUUCUUGUCCCUCAGUGGACCUCGAGACCCGCGUACCUGUGCUGAGAGACACCCCGGUGCCGACCCGGGUUUCACACCACAGCGACACUGACACUUGGGGCUGGAUCCUUCUUUGUGAUGGGGGGCUGUCCCGCGCUUCCGUGGCCUCCAGCCAGUCCUUCCAGACUUUGCCAAAUGCCCCUUGGGGGCAAAAUCGCCGGCGGUUGAGAACCACUGAUGUGUGUGGUGAGAGUCAUGAGUUAUGAGCUGAGGUCCCUGCCAGGCCCUGCGUAACCAAGUGACCUUAACUCUGAGUGAAGCCAAAACAUUAGUAGUCGGGCUUUGGAAUUUCCUAACUUUUAGGUAAAAUAACCUUUGACGCCUGGUGUCAUUUGGGGCAGGUCUUUCCACAGUGAUAAGCGUUUUUCUUCAGAUGCGAAAUGGAGCAGAUGAAGUCUGCUGACGGAGUUGUUAGGAGAGUGAGUCGAGAUGCUGGUUGGGUGCCCUGGCACGGCACUAGCACACAGUCAGUGCUUUAUUGUCCUUCUAGUUAUGACCUGUCACAUGGGCUUGGGGGGUGGUGCACAUUUCCUAGCAACCGAAGAUACUUUUCCCGGUCUGUUGAAUUUCCAGUCCUGUGUCUUCAGGCUCUACAUCCAAAUAUUUGCCUUCUGCCAAAGCCAGACGUUAUCCGGCAGCCCACACUCCUGUCACUCACCAGCUUGAUUUCUAGAAACAGCCCUUCCCCGGGCACAUCUAUAAUUUAACAUCUGUAAUUCCUCAAUUAGUAGUUAAGCAGUCCGUUCUGUUCUUCUCGAUAAUUGCCUUCUGCCCUGGGGAGGGUGAGGGAUGGAUGUGGGGGCCGUGUUGAGGCAGCAGCCGCCCUCACCCACCGCAGACAUCUCAGCAGGAAGUGCCUGGAAGGUUCUGAAACCCCUGGCGCUGGGUUUGAAGAGGGUACCAAGGUAGCCGCCCUGGUGGAUGAUGGGAAGCCGAGCUUCAGUAUCCAUAAAAAUUUUUUCAUGAGCCCUGGGAGCGAGUGUAAACAGGCCGCUGAGGGGCAGGGCGCUGAUGUGGAGUUCCUCUUCCUGGAGAGGCUCCUGAACCUUGAUUGCCAGAGCGUCUAGAUUGUUCCGGUCCACUCCUUCCAUGUUACAGCUGGGGAAGCCAAGGCCCAGAGAGGGAAAGAGACCUACACAAAGUCACACAGCAAGUCGGUGACAGACCCAGUAUCGGAGCUUGGGGUUUCUAAAUUCAAAGUUGGGGCAGUCAGAGGUCGUGCAGUUCUCAACCCUGAUAUCCUUCAGAGUUGAGCAGCAGACGUUUAUUGAGCUCUUACUGUUUGCAAAACUCUGCAGUCAGCUGUGUGAGGCACUGAAGAUAAUGAGAUGCAGUUCCCACCUCGGAGAAGUUUCCAGAAAAGUGACUAACAUGCAUAUACCAGCUGCACAGCCUCGAACCAACCUCUUCUCUGCAGCCCUGGUGGUGGGCUUCACCUUCCCUCUCUGUACACGGAGGCUUCAAUGUGACCUUUGCAGCCCUCCCCAGUGGAAUCAGCCUGGAUUCAAAUCCCUGCUCCUCUGUGUGCUGGCGUGUGACUUUCAGCCAGACUUUGAGGAAGCCUCGGUUUCCACAUCCGCAAGAAGGGGAUGGGAAUUCCACGCGGUGAUGAGGGUAAAACGCUCAGCAGAGAGCCUGGCCCGUGGUGAGCCCUCCGUAGCUAGUAGCUGGUCAUCGUGAUGGCUUCACUCUACCUGGCCUCGCUUUCCAACCACCCGGGGCUGCUCCCGGCUCUUCGAGAACCUUCCCUCCUGCCCAUCUGUGCGCCAGCCAGCAAGGAUGGAGCAGGGGUACGGACUCUGCUCUCUGUUGGCGGUUUGAAAAGGUUAAGCCUCUCCUUCAAACUGCGCUGUUUUCUCUCCCGAAGGACCCUCCGCCCGCAGGUGUUCUGGUUGUCAGGAGAAGGACAGAGCAGAGCAGGUGGGCCUGGCCUGCAGUGACAGAGCCAGCAGCUCCCAGCCUCCUUUGCUUCCACUCAGCUUCCGCACCCUCCUCACAGAACACACCCCACGAGCCCUCCCCGCCUCCGCCCCCAAGGUGCUCCCUGGUGAUGAAGGCGUAUCAGGGUCAUUAACAGCCACAGCUAAUUAGGAAAGAAGAGACAGCACAGAGUUAAAUAAGGGACCUUCUGAGCUGUGGCUGAGGGCACAACAGUUGGAGAUCCUUCAUGUGUAUUUUUCCCUUUCUCAUGAUAAAGACAAGCCCUUUGGGGGAGGCACUGAACAUAAGAACGGAGGCCGCAGAGCUCUGCUUAGUGAGUUUCCUAAUCUUUUCAUAUAACGGGGAGCCCUGUGGAGUUUCGACAGCUCGGUGCCAUCGGUGGAAGCGUAAGCCUUCCAGGUUUCUGAGCUGAAUUGUGCCCUUCAGUGGCAGCUGACCCCCGAGGCAAGGGAGUGGAGGAAGCAGCGUGGGUGGUUCGAGUCCUUGUGCUGCCACUUCCCAUAUCUGGGACCUUGGCCGAGGGCCUUGACCUCUUUGAGCAGUGGUGUCCUUGAGUGCAAAAGGGAGCUAACACUGUGAGAACUGAACUCAGACUUUGGUGGGCGCCUUGGAUACUGGUUCAGUAAGUAGAAUCCCAGGUGGAGGUCUUCUGGGUCUCAGGUGGGCCUCAGGAUCUGCCUGCAUUUCAAGAGCCCCAGGUAGAGAUGGUCACGUGGGCACCACCCUUGGAGAAGCAGUUCCCUCAGUCCGCAAAUAUUUAUCGAGCACCUACUGUGUGCCAAGCAUAGUCAGAGGCCCUAGGGGUCCAUCAGGGGACAAGACAGAGGUGGUCCCAGCCCUCAAGGACAGUAUGUUGUUACUGAAGGGCCGGCUGUGUGUUUGCUCUAGUGCACCUCUUGUGGUUGGAUGAAUGAAUGAACGAAAGAAUGAAUGGCUGCAUGGGUUUUUAAUGUUGUUCUGAUCAUCGAUGUGUCUUUGCAGCUUCUUCCAAAUUCUUUCUAGCCAUUCUUGCUAUAUCACAAAGCAAUACUGAGAUGUGUUUGCCCUUUCACAUCCUCAGAGCCCAGCAGUACAUCUGGCACAUCUGUGACACUCAGUAAGUAUCUGAUGGAUGGGUGGAUGAAUGAAUGAAUGAAUGGACACAUGCAUGAAUGAACUCUAAGCUCCUGGGUACCCACCAGCCAGAUUAGUUGGGUGGAUGACUAGGGCUCAGUGGAGCUGUGUUUUCUUGCUAGGAGCAAUGGUCUGGAGAGGCUCUAGGUUGUAAAUCGGAGUUCCACGUUCAAGGUGUAUCCAUGGGGUCAUGGCCGUUCUCUCCGAGGACCACAGAAGCCCCGGGGCCUAUGGUGGUCAAGUCUCAAGAACUUGAGGGUCAGUCCGUGUCUUGACCAGCCAGAGAAAGUCCAGCUUUGUUCUCACUACCACAGUUGGUACCCGGCUUUUCUGCGCCCACCCCUAAGCCGUCCUUCUGGACCCCAAGGUUCUCACUGCCACACUGUGCCCACAGGUCUCGGUUUACUCAGCCCUGCGGAGCUGGAGUCAGGCAGCCUUCCAGGGAGCUAAACCGGAGCCCUUUCUGAAUUCCUAGGGCGUGUUGCCAAGGAAGGCUCCUGAAGCCUCCUCGGGAGCUGGUUGGGGCUCCAUCCUCUGCUCAUUUAUUGAGCCAACUUGUACUAAGGACCCGCUGUGUGCCAGGCACGGUGCCGGGUUCACGGACCAGACCUGACUUCACCCUCAGGGUCACCCAAGGGUGUAAGCCAGAAGGGGGGGCACACUUAGUGCCCCGGGCCCUUGCAUGCCGAGGCUGGGGCUCCUCCCUGCUACUUCUGUGCGCUUUUCGUCCCAUGGGCUCAGCUGCCGAGGUACUUUAUUAUGUCUCUCCCCCGAGAACAGAAGUGCUGUGAGGACAGGGGCCUCUCUCUGUUUUGCUGAGUCAGAAAGAGCUAGUUAGUGACAAAAAGCAGACUCUGGGGGCUUCCCUGGUGGCGCAGUGGUUGAGAGUCCGCCUGCCGAUGCAGGGGACGCGGGUUCGUGCCCCGGUCCGGGAAGAUCCCACGUGCCGCGGAGCAGCUGGGCCCGUGAGCCGUGGCAGCUGAGCCUGCGCGUCCGGAGCCUGUGCUCCGCAACGGGAGAGGCCACAACAGUGAGAGGCCCGCGUACCGCAAAAAAAAAAAAAAAAAAAAAAAGCAGACACUGGAG